ensembl:lncRNA LINC00320 long intergenic non-protein coding RNA 320
AAGUUUGAAGGAUUCAGAGCAGAGAAUUGCACCCUGGCAUGAUGCCUAUGCCAGCUGGACUGUGUGAUUUUUGUUCUUUAGUAGAAGGAUAACAUGACAUAGCAGGAAUAAUACUGCCUUUUCUUUCUGGCAUGGAUCAAGAGAAAAGAAAAUACAAGAAAACAGACAGAAGAUCCUAUCUGCGACAAUUAAGAGCACUCUAAGAGGAAAACACAUCCCACCACACAAGGCAAGGUACUUCUAUGGAAGGGUGAGCCCUCACAGAUGGAGCAAUGGGGCGCGCACACCUGAACAAGGGAGGGGAAGGAGUUCUUAUCCCUGAUGCAUGUGACCCCUGCUGCUGUGUCCUUCCCCUAUUGGCUAAGGCUUCUGACAGCUUUGGAGAUUGUGACAUUGGAAUAAAGGAAAAACGUACAGGACUCAUGAAGCGCUGAAAUGUUCACAAAUAUCAAGCAAAAGUCAAUGAAAUUUAUUUUGAGCUAUUUACAUCAUUUAAUAAUUGAGCAAGGUAUACUCCUAUGAACAAAAUUUGGAGCAUGUUUGUCUCUCUCUGCCUGGCGUCUUCAGAAUUUGGAAACUAGUUAUGGUUUAUAAUCAGCUAUAGAAUUUUAACACGUGCUCUCAAAUGCAAGUUUCUGAUAACUUUGGAGAUUGUGACAUUGGAAUAAAGGAAGAGCUGGAAUGUUCAUGAAUAUCAAGCAAAAGUCAUGGAAAUUUAUUUUGAGCUAUUUACAGCAUUUAAUAAUUGAGCAAGGUAUACUCCUAUGAACAAAAUUUGGAGCAUGUUUGUCUCUCUCUGUCUGCCUGGCAUCUACAGAAUUUGGAAACUAGUUGUGCUGUACUGCAUGAGAAUGCCUGCAUUUAGUAUGCGAACUGGAAUUGGCAAAGGACGAUGGCUGCUCUCCCGCUAACUUUAAAUAAGUCAUGUCACAAAUUGCAUUCGUUCCCAGAUUUCCUAAACUUUCCAGAGAAAAUGGUCUUCUCCCUGGCUCAGCAAGAAGAUGAACUUUAAACACUGAGAAACUGGUCAUCUCCCUGGCUCAACCAGAAGAUGAACUUUAAACACUACUCUCAAUGACUUGAUGUUCCCAUCACUACUCCUGUCAUAAAGGGAGGGGACUCAGAUAUUGAGAAUUUUAUGAUAGUGUGAACUGUCUGCUGUCAGCCAGGAGGGCAGAGCUGAAAUUUAUUGCCACAUCACAUGAAGCAUAGAACAGACUCCACUACUCCUUGAGAUUCAAAACUUUGCCUCUCACAAAGUUACCUUUUAUUUUCCUCUUGUUUGUCACUCAUCUCCCCUAGUGUGCUCUUUUUAUUUCUUUUACUAUUAAUAAUAAAAUCUGUGGAUGACUGUAUUAUUGAA